rnacentral:rRNA from 1 species
GGGUUGUGAGGUUAAGCGACUAAGCGUACACGGUGGAUGCCCUGGCAGUCAGAGGCGAUGAAGGACGUGCUAAUCUGCGAUAAGCGUCGGUAAGGUGAUAUGAACCGUUAUAACCGGCGAUUUCCGAAUGGGGAAACCCAGUGUGUUUCGACACACUAUCAUUAACUGAAUCCAUAGGUUAAUGAGGCGAACCGGGGGAACUGAAACAUCUAAGUACCCCGAGGAAAAGAAAUCAACCGAGAUUCCCCCAGUAGCGGCGAGCGAACGGGGAGCAGCCCAGAGCCUGAAUCAGUGUGUGUGUUAGUGGAAGCGUCUGGAAAGGCGCGCGAUACAGGGUGACAGCCCCGUACACAAAAAUGCACAUGCUGUGAGCUCGAUGAGUAGGGCGGGACACGUGGUAUCCUGUCUGAAUAUGGGGGGACCAUCCUCCAAGGCUAAAUACUCCUGACUGACCGAUAGUGAACCAGUACCGUGAGGGAAAGGCGAAAAGAACCCCGGCGAGGGGAGUGAAAAAGAACCUGAAACCGUGUACGUACAAGCAGUGGGAGCACGCUUAGGCGUGUGACUGCGUACCUUUUGUAUAAUGGGUCAGCGACUUAUAUUCUGUAGCAAGGUUAACCGAAUAGGGGAGCCGAAGGGAAACCGAGUCUUAACUGGGCGUUAAGUUGCAGGGUAUAGACCCGAAACCCGGUGAUCUAGCCAUGGGCAGGUUGAAGGUUGGGUAACACUAACUGGAGGACCGAACCGACUAAUGUUGAAAAAUUAGCGGAUGACUUGUGGCUGGGGGUGAAAGGCCAAUCAAACCGGGAGAUAGCUGGUUCUCCCCGAAAGCUAUUUAGGUAGCGCCUCGUGAAUUCAUCUCCGGGGGUAGAGCACUGUUUCGGCAAGGGGGUCAUCCCGACUUACCAACCCGAUGCAAACUGCGAAUACCGGAGAAUGUUAUCACGGGAGACACACGGCGGGUGCUAACGUCCGUCGUGAAGAGGGAAACAACCCAGACCGCCAGCUAAGGUCCCAAAGUCAUGGUUAAGUGGGAAACGAUGUGGGAAGGCCCAGACAGCCAGGAUGUUGGCUUAGAAGCAGCCAUCAUUUAAAGAAAGCGUAAUAGCUCACUGGUCGAGUCGGCCUGCGCGGAAGAUGUAACGGGGCUAAACCAUGCACCGAAGCUGCGGCAGCGACGCUUAUGCGUUGUUGGGUAGGGGAGCGUUCUGUAAGCCUGUGAAGGUGUACUGUGAGGUAUGCUGGAGGUAUCAGAAGUGCGAAUGCUGACAUAAGUAACGAUAAAGCGGGUGAAAAGCCCGCUCGCCGGAAGACCAAGGGUUCCUGUCCAACGUUAAUCGGGGCAGGGUGAGUCGACCCCUAAGGCGAGGCCGAAAGGCGUAGUCGAUGGGAAACAGGUUAAUAUUCCUGUACUUGGUGUUACUGCGAAGGGGGGACGGAGAAGGCUAUGUUGGCCGGGCGACGGUUGUCCCGGUUUAAGCGUGUAGGCUGGUUUUCCAGGCAAAUCCGGAAAAUCAAGGCUGAGGCGUGAUGACGAGGCACUACGGUGCUGAAGCAACAAAUGCCCUGCUUCCAGGAAAAGCCUCUAAGCAUCAGGUAACAUCAAAUCGUACCCCAAACCGACACAGGUGGUCAGGUAGAGAAUACCAAGGCGCUUGAGAGAACUCGGGUGAAGGAACUAGGCAAAAUGGUGCCGUAACUUCGGGAGAAGGCACGCUGAUAUGUAGGUGAAGUCCCUCGCGGAUGGAGCUGAAAUCAGUCGAAGAUACCAGCUGGCUGCAACUGUUUAUUAAAAACACAGCACUGUGCAAACACGAAAGUGGACGUAUACGGUGUGACGCCUGCCCGGUGCCGGAAGGUUAAUUGAUGGGGUCAGCGCAAGCGAAGCUCUUGAUCGAAGCCCCGGUAAACGGCGGCCGUAACUAUAACGGUCCUAAGGUAGCGAAAUUCCUUGUCGGGUAAGUUCCGACCUGCACGAAUGGCGUAAUGAUGGCCAGGCUGUCUCCACCCGAGACUCAGUGAAAUUGAACUCGCUGUGAAGAUGCAGUGUACCCGCGGCAAGACGGAAAGACCCCGUGAACCUUUACUAUAGCUUGACACUGAACAUUGAGCCUUGAUGUGUAGGAUAGGUGGGAGGCUUUGAAGUGUGGACGCCAGUCUGCAUGGAGCCGACCUUGAAAUACCACCCUUUAAUGUUUGAUGUUCUAACGUGGACCCGUGAUCCGGGUUGCGGACAGUGUCUGGUGGGUAGUUUGACUGGGGCGGUCUCCUCCUAAAGAGUAACGGAGGAGCACGAAGGUUGGCUAAUCCUGGUCGGACAUCAGGAGGUUAGUGCAAUGGCAUAAGCCAGCUUGACUGCGAGCGUGACGGCGCGAGCAGGUGCGAAAGCAGGUCAUAGUGAUCCGGUGGUUCUGAAUGGAAGGGCCAUCGCUCAACGGAUAAAAGGUACUCCGGGGAUAACAGGCUGAUACCGCCCAAGAGUUCAUAUCGACGGCGGUGUUUGGCACCUCGAUGUCGGCUCAUCACAUCCUGGGGCUGAAGUAGGUCCCAAGGGUAUGGCUGUUCGCCAUUUAAAGUGGUACGCGAGCUGGGUUUAGAACGUCGUGAGACAGUUCGGUCCCUAUCUGCCGUGGGCGCUGGAGAACUGAGGGGGGCUGCUCCUAGUACGAGAGGACCGGAGUGGACGCAUCACUGGUGUUCGGGUUGUCAUGCCAAUGGCACUGCCCGGUAGCUAAAUGCGGAAGAGAUAAGUGCUGAAAGCAUCUAAGCACGAAACUUGCCCCGAGAUGAGUUCUCCCUGACUCCUUGAGAGUCCUGAAGGAACGUUGAAGACGACGACGUUGAUAGGCCGGGUGUGUAAGCGCAGCGAUGCGUUGAGCUAACCGGUACUAAUGAACCGUGAGGCUUAACCUUACAACGCCGAAGGUGUUU